UACGUAGGGGGCGAGCGUUGUCCGGAAUCAUUGGGCGUAAAGCGCGUGUAGGCGGUCCGGUAAGUCCGCUGUGAAAGUCGGGGGCUCAACCCUCGGAUGCCGGUGGAUACUGUCGGGCUUGAGUACGGAAGAGGCGAGUGGAAUUCCUGGUGUAGCGGUGAAAUGCGCAGAUAUCAGGAAGAACACCCGUGGCGAAAGCGGCUCUCUGGGACGGUACUGACGCUGAGACGCGAAAGCGUGGGGAGCGAACAGG
rnacentral:rRNA from 1 species